CUAUGUGAUAAGCUCCGGUUCUCUGCCAGGGCAGGACUGGGGAGUCUCACUCACCCUCUCUGGCUGCCUGUCGCCCAGCGUGGGACAGGCGGGAAACAUCCCCUGCUCUCCCACACACACUUCGAGGCUUCAGUCUCCUACAGGAUCUCAUCUAAUCCUCACAACAACCUGGGAGUAGAUCCUUAUUACCUUAGCUUCACAACUGCAGGAGCCACCUCGGAGGUAAGGGGCUUGCCCUGGGUCACAGAGCUGGUGCCUGGACCAGCCCUCUGCCAGGACCUUCGCUGCAUAUUUUCGGCUCCUGCCCGCUCGGCUCCCAGCACCACUGGCUCUUGGUGGCUAUCAUGGGGAGAUGGGGGGCCCCACACCCCGCAGUUUAGGUCUCAAUGCAGGGCCCAGGAUGGGGCAGAGAGAGAGCGAGCCAUGUUUUGGAGUCACCAGAGCUCCCGGGGAAGACCAAGGUCCAGCGUCAGUCCCAGCCAGGAAAACCAGGAGAGAAGAACUAGGUAGGUGGGGGAGAGCUUCCCAAAGGGUGGGGGUGGAGUGGGACGUGUCUAGGCAGGCAAGUGGGGACAAAGAGGCAGCCAGGUGAGCCGCCAGCCCAGAUUCAAAGUGGGGCUGAGGCUGUGAUUGGUGGCCCGCGUCCCCCGCCCCUCCCCUUCUCCCUCACCUCCCAGGCAGUUGAGAAAGCGGGACGGGGUCGGCAGGCCCCUCGGCAGGGACUCCCCCAGCACGGAGCGGCGGCUGCCGGGGCACUCCGGGCGCCACCUCCCCUACCCCAAGCCCA
rnacentral:lncRNA from 12 species